CGAGAUCUUCCAUUACUUGGACGACAUCCUCAUCAUAGGUCCAUCGUGAAGGAUAGUGGCUCAUCAUACAUUGGUGGCAAUGAACAUUCUUCAAGACCACGGUUGGCUUCUGAACGUAGAGAAAAGCUCCCUAAUUCCGUCUCAAACUAUCGUAUUUCUCGGAGCAGUAAUAAACACCAUCUCUGCCCAUGUGUUCCUGUCUCCAGAAAGGGUCAUGAAGAUCACAAGCAAAAUCGAGAAGCUUCAAGGUCUUGAAAUGGCCUCGGUAAGGGAAGUCAUGAGUCUCCUGGGUUCUUUAACAUCUACGAUAGGGUUAGUAAACAGAUUGGGAGCAGAAGAUAUCUCUUCCCCUGCCAGUGAGGAAAGAGUUGAACUGGUGGAAGAGCAAGAAGAAUUUAGCAAAAGGCUUCCCGUUGGAAGAGCCUCCAUGGAACAUUAUUACAACAGAUGCCAGUUCUUCUGGAUGGGGUGCCCACUUCAAUUCCUUGUGGACUCAAGGAAGUGGACCCGAGAAGAGAGUCAGCU